AUUGAACGCUGGCGGCAGGCCUAACACAUGCAAGCCGAGCGGAUGAAGGGAGCUUGCUCCUGGAUUCAGCGGCGGACGGGUGAGUAAUGCCUAGGAAUCUGCCUGGUAGUGGGGGAUAACGUCCGGAAACGGGCGCUAAUACCGCAUACGUCCUGUGGGUGAAAGUGGGGGAUCUUCGGACCUCCCGCUAUCAGAUGAGCCUAGGGCGGAUUAGGUAGUUGGUGGGGUAAAGGCCUACCAAGGCGACGAUCCGUAACUGGUCUGAGAGGAUGAUCAGUCACACUGGAACUGAGACACGGUCCAGACUCCUACGGGAGGCAGCAGUGGGGAAUAUUGGACAAUGCGCGAAAGCCUGAUCCAGCCAUGCCGCGUGUGUGAAGAAGGUCUUCGGAUUGUAAAGCCCUUUAAGUUGGGAGGAAGGGCAGUAAGUUAAUACCUUGCUGUUUUGGCGUUACCAACAGAAUAAGCACCGGCUAACUUCGUG
rnacentral:rRNA from 1 species